GGAGGAACCUUUUUAGAACUGUGUCUGGUCUGUCCAAUGCUCGGUGAUUCUCAGUGGGAAGGGAGCAGAAGCCUGCUCAGUUGGAGGAAAAGACUUAUGAGCUUUAUUGAUCACAGGCUCACAUAGAGAGGGUGGCCUCCUUCGGCAUAAAACAGAGCUUUUUAUUGACAUGAAGACUGCAACAGCCCGUAGCUGUGACCUGGGGCGUUCCUGUACCUGCGGCCUGAGUCCGAACACGCCGCAGCCUUCGCCCUGGCUGCAGAUGGAUGGCUCUCAGACUCGUUAUGGGCCUCCUUGGCAGGGGAAGCUUUCACUGCCGCCGAACCCACAUUUAUAUUCUGCCGAGAGCGAGACCUUUGCAAAGGCGCCUUGUUGUUUUCUGUAUAUCUGACUCCGGGGCUGCAGGAUCUGGAUGUGCCACGACUACGCAUCACUCAUUGUUAUUCAUUUUUUGUUGUUGUUGGUGCUGUUAUUAUUAAUAACAUAAUCACACCUAUAAAUAUGUUUUUUUUCCUCUGCACUGUCGCCAGGUGCUUUCUCAUGGUGGGACCUGUUGGAUUUCUCUCUAUAAUAUUCUAAAUUGACUUGACCUUACUCUCUGAAGUGCCUUAAGAUAAUGUACGUUUUUGAAUUGAAUGAAAAUUUUAAUCUGAUAUAGUUUUGUAAGGACAAAUACUUUAAUGGCACCUUGAAAAAAAAGUUUCAUUAAGGGUGAAUGCCUUUUAGUUAACAAAAAAAUUACAGAAGAUCAUGAAACGAUUUAAGCACUAAUAAUAUGUCCUCACCAGGCUUUACAAAUGACAUCUCUCUCUCACCUUUUCUCCCUCUCUCUCAUGAAAGGAUUAGCAACAAAUAUUUCUGAAUCGAACCAUGCUGUAAUCACCAAGGUCCUGAAUACUCAGCUCAGAUAUACAUAUAUCCAGGCACACAGAGCUUUACAAUUCGAUACACCUGGAACAGAAUCGGGGAGGUCAACACACACACCUAGUGAAGCAGGCUGCUUUGUGGUGCUGGAUGGUGAAUACUAAAGCUUCAUUGCUGUAGGUGGGUGGAGGAGAAGAAAGGGAGAGAUGAUCUUUGUAGAGCUUCUGUUUUCCACUCAGCAUGUACACAGUCGCUACUGUGAAUAAAACACAGAGGCUACACAGAAAGAAGAAAACAAAACCAAAGAAAAUGUUGACGAAUUCCCCCCUUUUUUUUUAUAGCUUCAUCACCAUCAUGGACUUCCUGACAAUGGUUCCAGCAUGACUAAUGCCACUUGAUUGCACCUGUGCAAAGAUGUGUUAAUUUUUGAAGGCGUUCACACAUAUACUUCCUGCCAUAUACAUAAUUUUUUUCGCUCACCAAAGCAACAGGAACAAGACACCUAGCGCCUCGUACACAGCUCUAGCUUACAUAUUCUUUAUAACCAACUACCUGGCUCUUAUUGUAACUUGAUUAGAUGAUCUGUUUGAAAAUGACUGAACACAUGCAGUAUUGGUAAAAUGGCCCCAAGGCACAGACAAGGCAAAUACACGGACACGCAUCAUGCUAAUGUCUCCUCUUCUGUGGCUCCCGUUUCAAAAUGCUGGUGGCAUUUUAUAUAGUAAGACUGUGACGAAUCCUGACAUCUCCCUUGUUACUACUCCCCCCUUCCUCCUUCCUGUCACACAGAAGGCAUUUCAGUGGCAACCGGACAAAACGCCUUUGUGGCAGGGGCUUUGACAUUUGUGUAUGCUGGUAAGAAGAAGCAGAAAAUUAAGUCUUUAUCAUCUGCCCAGUGGAUUAUGAAUGGGUAGAUGGAAAGUAAAAGAACUGGUUGUAGGGUUGCACAGCUGAUUGUUUUGUAUCAAAAUUGUGAUUUGACUUCAAUUUAAAAUCAUAAUAGCUGUGAUCUUAAUUAAAAAUGU